GGGAAUAUAGCUCAGCUGCUUGAGUGCUUGCCUUCUAAGCAUGAGGCCCUGGAUUUAAUCUCCAGUACCA
rnacentral:tRNA from 1 species